GAGUUUGAUCGUGGCUCAGAUUGAACGCUGGCGGCAUGCCUUACACAUGCAAGUCGAACGGCAGCAUGAUCUAGCUUGCUAGAUUGAUGGCGAGUGGCGAACGGGUGAGUAAUACAUCGGAACGUGCCCUGUAGUGGGGGAUAACUAGUCGAAAGAUUAGCUAAUACCGCAUACGACCUGAGGGUGAAAGUGGGGGACCGCAAGGCCUCAUGCUAUAGGAGCGGCCGAUGUCUGAUUAGCUAGUUGGUGGGGUAAAGGCCCACCAAGGCGACGAUCAGUAGCUGGUCUGAGAGGACGAUCAGCCACACUGGGACUGAGACACGGUCCAGACUCCUACGGGAGGCAGCAGUGGGGAAUUUGGACAAUGGGCGAAAGCCUGAUCCAGCAAUGCCGCGUGUGUGAAGAAGGCCUUC
rnacentral:rRNA from 1 species